rnacentral:rRNA from 1 species
UACGUAGGGGGCAAGCGUUGUCCGGAAUUAUUGGGCGUAAAGCGCGCGCAGGCGGCUUUGUAAGUCUGGUGUUUAAACCUAGGGCUCAACCCUGGGUCGCAUUGGAAACUGCAAGGCUUGAGUGCAGAAGAGGAGAGUGGAAUUCCACGUGUAGCGGUGAAAUGCGUAAAGAUGUGGAGGAACACCAGUGGCGAAGGCGACUCUCUGGGCUGUAACUGACGCUGAGGUGCGAAAGCGUGGGGAGCGAACAGG